AGUUAUUUCAUGAGGAAGCACAAAGCCAAAUAAAAUUAAAAAAAAAUGUGUCAUUAGCUGAUCUUAUCCUGAAUUUUUUAGUUUAAAAAUUAAAUAUCAAUUUUGUUCAGAAAAUUAGAACAUACUACUGUUACAAAUGAAUAUGAAUUAUUGAAAGCAAUAGUAUAAGAAUAGAAUACAAAAAAAAUCCAAUUUAUGCCUCAAGAAAUUUCAGGUACAUGAAAAGACAGACUGACAUAUUCAUUGUUCCUAAAGACACAAGCCAUCAUACCUCAAUGGACAAAAAUGCAUAACACGUAAAUUUUACAAUGUAUCUGUAAUAUUAUUAAUUUUCACUGGUUUUGUGGUUAUAUG
rnacentral:lncRNA from 1 species